rnacentral:rRNA from 1 species
UACGAAGGGGGCUAGCGUUGCUCGGAAUCACUGGGCGUAAAGGGUGCGUAGGCGGGUCUUUAAGUCAGGGGCGAAAUCCUGGAGCUCAACUCCAGAACUGCCUUUGAUACUGAGGAUCUCGAGUCCGGGAGAGGUGAGUGGAACUGCGAGUGUAGAGGUGAAAUUCGUAGAUAUUCGCAAGAACACCAGUGGCGAAGGCGGCUCACUGGCCCGGUACUGACGCUGAGGUGCGAAAGCGUGGGGAGCAAACAGG